rnacentral:rRNA from 1 species
CUUGCUUGGGGUACUCGAGUGGCGAACGGGUGAGUAAUACGUGGGUAACCUGCCCUCUUCUUUGGGAUAAGCCCCGGAAACGGGGUCUAAUACCGGAUAUUCUGCUUCUGCCGCAUGGUGGGGGUUGGAAAGGUUUUUCGGUGGGGGAUGGGCCCGCGGCCUAUCAGCUUGUUGGUGGGGUGAUGGCCUACCAAGGCUUCGACGGGUAGCCGGCCUGAGAGGGUGACCGGCCACAUUGGGACUGAGAUACGGCCCAGACUCCUACGGGAGGCAGCAGCA